AUCCUGAGGAUUCUGAGAACACU
rnacentral:piRNA from 1 species